rnacentral:rRNA from 1 species
AUUGAACGCUGGCGGCAUGCCUUACACAUGCAAGUCGAACGGCAGCACGGGUGCUUGCACCUGGUGGCGAGUGGCGAACGGGUGAGUAAUACAUCGGAACGUACCUUAUCGUGGGGGAUAACGCAGCGAAAGUUGCGCUAAUACCGCAUACGCCCUGCGGGGGAAAGCGGGGGACCGUAAGGCCUCGCGCGAUUAGAGCGGCCGAUGUCUGACUAGCUUGUUGGUGAGGUAAAAGCUCACCAAGGCGAUGAUCAGUAGCUGGUCUGAGAGGACGAUCAGCCACACUGGGACUGAGACACGGCCCAGACUCCUACGGGAGGCAGCAGUGGGGAAUUUUGGACAAUGGGGGCAACCCUGAUCCAGCAAUGCCGCGCGAGUGAAGAAGGCCUUCGGGUUGUAAAGCUCUUUUGUCAGGGAAGAAACAGCAGCUCUAACACAGUCUGCGAAUGACGGUACCUGAAGAAUAAGCACCGGCUAACUACGUGCCAGCCGCCGCAGUAA